GAUGAACGCUAGCGGCAGGCCUAACACAUGCAAGUCGAGGGAGAAGCCCUUUCGGGGGCAGAAACCGGCGCACGGGUGCGUAACGCGUAUGCAACCUACCUUUCACAGGGGGAUAGCCCGAAGAAAUUUGGAUUAAUACCCCAUAAUAUUAUUGGAUGGCAUCAUUUGAUAAUUAAAGCUACGACGGUGAAAGAUGGGCAUGCGUCCUAUUAGCUAGUUGGAGUGGUAACGGCACCCCAAGGCUACGAUAGGUAGGGGUCCUGAGAGGGAGAUCCCCCACACUGGUACUGAGACAGGGACCAGACUCCUACGGGAGGCAGCAGUGAGGAAUAUUGGUCAAUGGUCGGAAGACUGAACCAGCCAUGCCGCGUGCAGGAAGAAUGCCUUAUGGGUUGUAAACUGCUUUUAUAUGGGAAGAAUAAGGCGUACGUGUACG
rnacentral:rRNA from 1 species